rnacentral:rRNA from 1 species
UACGUAGGGGGCAAGCGUUGUCCGGAUUUAUUGGGCGUAAAGAGCGUGUAGGCGGCCUGGCAAGUCCGCUGUGAAAACUCGAGGCUUAACCUCGAGACGUCGGUGGAAACUGCUUGGCUAGAGUCCGGAAGAGGAGAGUGGAAUUCCUGGUGUAGCGGUGAAAUGCGCAGAUAUCAGGAGGAACACCAAUUGCGAAGGCAGCUCGCUGGGACGUUACUGACGCUGAGACGCGAAAGCGUGGGGAGCGAACAGG